rnacentral:rRNA from 1 species
UAAUACUUCUGCGAAAGCAUCUGCCAAGGAUGUUUUCAUUAAUCAAGAACGAAAGUUAGGGGAUCGAGAGCAUCAGAUACCGUCGUAGUCUUAACCAUAAACGAUGCCGACCAGCGAUUAGGAGACGUUGAAUACAAAACACCACCAUCGGCGCGGUCGUCCCUGGCUCGUCGUCUCACGACGGCGGGCGGGGGCGGCUUAGCCCGAUGGCACCGGUGAAUGACUCCCUAGCAGCUUGUGAGAAG